CCUACGGGAGGCAGCAGUGAGGAAUAUUGGUCAAUGGGCGGAAGCCUGCACCAGCCAAGUAGCGUGCAGGAUGACGGCCCUACGGGUCGUAAACCGCUUUUGCACGGGGAUAACACCCUCCACUUGUGGAGGUCUGCAGGUACCGUGCGAAUAAGGGCCGGCUAAUUCCGUUCCAGAAGCCGCGGUAAUACGGAAGGCCCGAGGGUUAUCAGGAUUCAUUGUGGUUAAAGGGAGCGUAGGCGGGCGUUCCAGUUAGCUGUAAAAUCGCGCGGCUCAACCGCGCCCCGCAGUUGAAACUGGACGCCUUGAGUUCACAACAGGCAGGCGGAAUUCGUGGUGUAGCGGUGAAAUGCAUAGAUAUCACGAGGAACCCCGAUUGCGAAGGCAGCCGGCCGGGGUGCGACUGACGCUGAGGCUCGAAGGUGCGGGUAUCAAACAGGAUUAGAUACCCUUGUAGUC
rnacentral:rRNA from 1 species